GUCCACGCUGUAAACGAUGAUGACUAACCGUCGGCGAUAUACAGUCGGUGGCCAAGCGAAAGCGAUAAGUCAUCCACCUGGGGAGUACGACCGCAAGGUUGAAACUCAAAGGAAUUGACGGGGGCCCGCACAAGCGGAGGAACAUGUGGUUUAAUUCGAUGAUACGCGAGGAACCUUACCCGGGCUCGAACGGCAGGGGAAUUAUCCAGAGAUGGAUAAGUCUUCGGACUCCUGUCGAGGUGCUGCAUGGUUGUCGU
rnacentral:rRNA from 1 species